GGGAGAUAACGGAGAUGACGGACUUAGAACUCCAAUGUCCAGCCCACAGCAGAGGCCUCUCCCCCCGGCACACGGCCCGUCCACAGCAGAUCAGACACCACGCCCCGCCCUCACAGACCGCUCCCCCAGGAACAGACUGUGGUGCUGCUUCACUACCUGAGCAUUUUCCCAAGUGACUGAGAGACACUGGUCAGCAAUCAGGAAGCAUAAGGAAGGCCGGUGUGAGGAUUUCAGCCUGUGCUGCCUCAGGUGAGGACAAAAGAGAGAGUGGCAUAAUGGGAACUUUCCUGAUGUUUUAUAAACGCAUUCCCUGCCCGCAUGGACCCGGGACCUGAGGGUGUGACCUGGGACCCUGCCUGCAUGGACCUGGGACCUGCGGGUGUGACCUGGGACCUGAGGGUGUGACCUGGGACCCUGCCCGCAUGGACCUGGGACCUGAGGGUGUGACCUGGGACCUGAGGGUGUGACCUGGGACCCUGCCCGCAUGGACCUGGGACCUGAGGGUGUGACCUGGGACCUGAGAGUGUGCAGAGCAGAGCCCAUGCGGCCUCCCCGCCGCCUCCCGCCCACGACUGCCCGCCGGUCGGCCCAGGUCCACGGAGAUGCAGAAAGGCCGGUAAGGACAGAGGAUGUUUGGAAGCUGUGAAACACUUCUUUCACAAUGAACUGGAAUGGCUUCAUGUGGAAAAGCUUAAAAUUAAACAGCGUCAGCAAAACCCAGCCAACCAAAAACAUCACGAGAGGGAGGAUUUCAGGCAGACAGGAGACAACAGGUCGGACCGACCGGAGUGGCAACGCCCUCCUCCCACAGGAAGUGGCCUCGGACCUGACCCUCUCGAACUGCUUCCCUCCGGCCCAGGUGCCAGCAGCUCCCCCCAGUCCCACCCGGGAGCAGGUGGGAGGCUCCCUGCUGCCGCCGCGUCUCCCAUCAGCUCUGUAGUUACCAAGCUCUAGCCCUCCGACAAGUAGAAGCUCCCCCCGAAGCAGCAGGCCCGAGGCAAACCCGGUCAGAGGGUCCUAGUCCCUGAAGGCUGGGAAGUCGCCAAUGGACUGCCGCACAGGGCGAGGGGCUCGCCCACCUCUGAGCUGUCACUAGUGUUUGGAAGGUGCUGCCGCCAGGGGAGAAAUCCUGGGGGUGACGUGGCUUGUUUGGGCGCAGCCGAUCGGAAGCCUCCCUCCGGCUCUGCCAGGCUCCUUCUGAGGCCCUGCAGCCGGGCCCAGGCCUGUCGGGGUGCGGGGGCCCCCUGCCCAGGGAGCUCCCACCCGCGGGGCACUCACCAUGCUGUCGAAUUCCACGGGGCCCACGAUCCGAGACACCUCGUCAAACUCCUCGGGAGACAUGGGGAGCAGGUUGUCUGUGGUCUGCAGUCGGGAAGGGUGACUGGAAGGGGAGAGAGGGAAGCAGGGUUAGCUCUGGGCGGGAAGCAGGGCCCGGCCCGCACACAUCGUCGUCGGCCUGCGACUGCAGGAGCGGGUUGUUUUCACUGCAGGUGAGUGUGCACACCUGCAAAAUACAUUUUAGAAGGUGCAGCCCCGGGAGGCUGCUGUCCCCGGCGUGGCCCCUGAGCGGUGUGGCCUGGGGCGUGGGGGCAGGGGCGCCCGUCGGGGCGCAUCAGAGGCCAGAGGCGGUGGGAGUCCCUCUUCCCUACCUUGCGGUGUGAGUGCAGAGGAGGCUGAUCCGAGAUUUUACGUGAAGGCUACUCCAUGCGCCCACAGCGCUCAGGCCAAACUACUGACCAUGCCUUUUCCAAAUUUUUUUGUCUACCUUUUAUGAAAUGAAACGACAGAAUAAAAGCAGGUGGAAGAAAUGUAUCUCAACCAUCACGGUGGCCGUUUCCAGAUCGAAAAGAACUACUUUCCCACUCUGAUCGAUUUUCGCUCAUUUUAUUCACACUUUUUCAAAGUAUCCGUUUGGGGAGAAUUUAUGUCCCUUAAAUACAACUUUGGGUGUUUGGGGUUUUUUUGUUUUUGUUUUUUAUAUAAA